AAUGAACGCUGGCGGCGCGCCUAAUACAUGCAAGUCGAGCGAGAAGACGUAGCAAUACGUUUGUAAAGCGGCGAACGGGUGAGGAAUACAUGGGUAACCUACCCUAGAGUGGGGAAUAACUAGCCGAAAGGUUAGCUAAUACCGCGUACGCUCCUUGGACUUCGGUUCAGGGAGGAAAGCGAUACCGAGGGUAUCGCGCUCUUGGAUGGGCUCAUGUCCUAUCAGCUGUUGGUGAGGUAACGGCUCACCAAGGCUUCGACGGGUAGCUGGUCUGAGAGGACGAUCAGCCACACUGGCACUGCGACACGGGCCAGACUCCUACGGGAGGCAGCAGUAAGGAAUAUUGCGCAAUGGGCGAAAGCCUGACGCAGCGACGCCGCGUGGGGGA
rnacentral:rRNA from 1 species